rnacentral:tRNA from 1 species
GGGCGGUUAGCUCAGGGGCAAGAGCGCCGCGUUGACAUCGCGGAGGUCAUUGGUUCAAAUCCAUUACCGCCCACCA